CAGGCUGGAAGAGAAAAGAAAUGCACUGUGACGUUCAGAGUUGCCACAAACUGGCAUUUUAACUUUUUUCAUUUAUCAAGGACAUUUAAAGAAAAAGGUCUGUUGUAAAGCUACAAAGAAAUCCUUCUGGAAGUCGUCCAGAAGUACUUAGGGAACCGAUGGAGAGCACCUCACCUGUUUUGAUGUUAACUUAAUCAGUGACCCUUCAUAACCCUGCAGGGGAAAAAAGAUAGCCAAUUAUCCACCCUGAAGUCACAUGAAGGAGGUCAGGCAUAAAAAAAUCUCACUACAUUGAGCCAAAUCUGCCUGUGGGCACCAUCAGACCCAUCCAUCAUGGAACUGCAAUUCACAUUUGUAAUGAUAAAAACACCACAACUUCUAAAAAAGGAUAUUAAGCUUGCUUGGGCAAAAUUAAAAAUUGAAUCCCUGCCAGUAUAUACAGCAUUUGAAGCAUUGCGUCUCCUUCAGUUUUACAUUUUUAACACCAGUUAUGCUGGUUAAAGCAGGAGCAACAAGGUAAAGAGGAUUUUCUUCCUUUAAGAACUUAAUGAGAACGUUUGCCACCGAUUCAGAUUUACAACCAUGGAAAAUUUAAACAACUUUUCAAUGCAAUCUGUGGCAAGAAUCCAAAACUGAAGUUGCUUCAAUAAAUCAGCAGGGUCAAGUUGUUUUUCUUUCCCUGAAAGACCCGAUUGAAGCAAGUUGCGCACACCGAGCCGUGUUUGCCUUGUGUUGAAAUAAAACUUGUUAAAACUCCAGUGGUUGUGCAAAUGUUUGGAGUGCAUAUCAAAAUUUUCCUGCUUGUGUGUGAGCUGGGUCACAGAGAGAAUCGCUUGGUCAAUCGCGAGAGCUACUCAUUUACACAUUCCACAGGACCAUCCAUGUGCGAGGGACACCACUUUCAAUUUGGUUCGUUAGGACAACGGUGGGGAGGGGCUGUUUAUGAAACUCUGGGCCGAGCGGAAAAAA